UUUGAACUAGCGAUAAGGCCUACUUCAGUUUUUAAUAACUUGACUGAAAAGGAAGGUUAUCAAUCUUUUUAUCAAAUUCUAAGACCCCUUCUCAACCAACCGCUUCCUUUCAAUUCAGACUUUUUUAAGCUUGCCGAUCUAAUAGAGGACGUUAAGGGUUUUGAUGGGCAGGAAGUCAAUCUUUUAUUGUUAGUCUCAAGGUUGCCGCAGCUUUACAUCCCAAGCGUGCCCUAUUCUAGUCUUCUGCCUUUAAAGUAUUGGCACCCCAAAGCAAUGCGGCCGUACAGGCUCUUCUCUUUGCACUGUUUAUCUCUAUGACGACAGCUAUGGCCCCGUCAGUUUUUGUUUGUUUGGGGAGGACGUUGUUAACUAUGCAGCAUCCUGGGCACCUCAUGAAACUGUCCUCUUUCUGACGGACGUUCGAGUGGUAAGGGCGCGAAAUGUUGCUUUGGCACUUUCGCUGACUCGUAAAGUCAUUUUUGCUUUGAGGUUAUUCGUAAUACUAGACUGCACCUUAAAAAAACAGCAAAAACUGUAAUAAUUGAGUCUCCUGAUAUUGAGGAAGCUUUGUUAUUACGGCGUUAUGCUAAGGAAAUUACCUCGAAGUUUUCAAAAGAUGGCGAACUUCAAGCAGUAAAUACUGCCUUUCUUCUGGAGCAAUUGCGUGAUCCGUAUUAUGUACUUUUUUUUAGAAACUUAAGCCGCUUCUCGCCCUCCCGAAAAAUUAUAGGAGGGGUCUGUUGUUCUCGAUGGCCUCCUGACACUCUUUCCUAUUGACGAUCCCUCCGUUACAAUAGUAACUGGAGGAGGUCACGUACCUAUAACAGAGGAGGCGUCAAGAGAGCCUUGCACUUACAGAUUUCGACUCAGCAUUUCUGAUCAACUCGGAACUCUGAAUUGUAGAAUUGGAAAUUCUGCAGCUAAAGAACUUCUUAAAAUUGAAGCGCCAGACUUUUUGGAAAAAGAUUAUAAGAAGCGGACUAUUCUAAAGUACACACAUUUGUUUGAAGCGUUUAAGUUUGUGCUAUCUAUAAGGUCUGUGCUGAGUCAAGGGCGUAGAGAAAUCACUGUAGUGGAGAUGCAACCCUUGGAAGGUGAGCGUCUCAAGUCUUUUAUGACAAACAACCCUUAAAGUUUUCUCUUGCC